rnacentral:rRNA from 1 species
UACUAGAGUAGCACUCGCAUAUCAAUAAGCGGAGGAAAAGAAACUAACAAGGAUUCCCCUAGUAACGGCGAGUGAAGCGGGAAGAGCUCAAAUUUGAAAUCUUAAAGGGUUUCCCUUUACGAAUUGUAGUUUAAAGAAGUGUUUUCUGUUGAGGUUUUGGUAAAAGUUCUUUGGAAUAGGACAUCAUAGAGGGUGAGAAUCCCGUAUUUGACCUUUACUUUCAACUUUGUGAUACACUUUCAAAGAGUCGGAUUGUUUGGGAAUGCAGUCCAAAAUGGGUGGUAAAUUUCAUCUAAAGCUAAACAUUGGCGAGAGACCGAUAGCGAACAAGUACCGUGAGGGAAAGAUGAAAAGAACUUUGAAAAGAGAGUUAAACAGUACGUGAAAUUGUCAAAAGGGAAGCGUUUGACACCAGUGUUGUUUUUCUGAAAAUCAAUUAAAGAACUGUUUAUGCUAAGUUGUUUAGACUUUAUCAGCUAACUGUUUAGUUUUGAGCUUUUCUUUAAUGCACUUUUCAGUUAACAAGUCAACAUCAAUUUCUUUUGCUGUAAAAAAGCUUGAGGAAGGUGGCUUGAGAUUCGUCUUAAGUGUUUAUAGCCUCUUGCCUAUGCAGUCGGAGAGAUUGAGGUCUGCAGCGUAGAUCCUUCGGGGCUAAAUGCAUUUGUGCUAAGUUAUAGCAUUUUAUAGACAACUUGUUGACUAUGAUUUGUCUUGUAGCUUACUCGCUUAUGUUAUUUUACCUACGCUUAGGAUGUUGAACUCUAUCACACACAG